CAGUUAUGGUUCCUUUGAUCGCUCCAUUUGUUACUUGGAUAACUGUGGUAAUUCUAGAGCUAAUACAUGCCGACGAGCGCUUUUGCACCCUGCUCUCUCUUAUGCUGUGCUGGUGCCUUUGUGCGACCACCGCCUCUUCCUCCAAACUGCACACGUCACUCGCAUGACCUUGAUUCCAUGUGGGGUCUUCCUCCCCCCUACAUUAUUUAAAUAAGCCAUUG